CCUACGGGUGGCAGCAGUGGGGAAUAUUGGACAAUGGGCGAAAGCCUGAUCCAGCCAUGCCGCGUGUGUGAAGAAGGCCCUCGGGUUGUAAAGCACUUUCAGUGGGGAAGAAAGCCUUGGGGCUAAUACCCUCGAGGAAGGACAUCACCCACAGAAGAAGCACCGGCUAACUCCGUGCCAGCAGCCGCGGUAAUACGGAGGGUGCGAGCGUUAAUCGGAAUUACUGGGCGUAAAGCGCGCGUAGGCGGUCUGAUAAGCCGGUUGUGAAAGCCCCGGGCUCAACCUGGGAACGGCAUCCGGAACUGUCAGGCUAGAGUGCAGGAGAGGAAGGUAGAAUUCCCGGUGUAGCGGUGAAAUGCGUAGAGAUCGGGAGGAAUACCAGUGGCGAAGGCGGCCUUCUGGACUGACACUGACGCUGAGGUGCGAAAGCGUGGGUAGCAAACAGGAUUAGAUACCCGUGUAGUC
rnacentral:rRNA from 1 species